CGAGGUUCGGCCCGUUUAACCUCCACCUAAACAAAGCAAGCGCACUUUAGGGGGAAGCCGCGGUGGCGCCCCUGCCCUGCAGACACCCGUGGUGGCUUACAACUACACUUAACACCUUACGACUUAAAGUACCACAGUUGCAUCUGGAAGACGCCUUGUGCCCCCCCACUGCAAGCAGCAGGAGGCCAAGAGCCCUCGGGAGACGGCGAGGCGGGGCGCCAAGGGUGCCCUCUUCAGACUGGUGGCAGUCUCCUUCCACCCGAGCCCACCCGCCGCCCCCGCAUACCUGAGAAACACGCUGGCUUUGACUCGAUUAUUUAGAAUGUCUAGUGGAAGAUAAAGACUUACCUUCCCCAGGCUAACGCUUAAAGAGUCUCAGUUAACUCAAAGGCAUGUCAGAGGGAAUGAUGUAAGAGCCUUACAAUACAGCUAACAAAAAAGUCAACAAACAUGCAAUAAAAUGGACAUUGGGAUCAGUAA